rnacentral:rRNA from 1 species
UACGGAGGUGGCAAGCGUUGCUCGGAAUCACUGGGCGUAAAGGGCGCGUAGGCGGGGAGGUAAGUCGGGUGUGAAAUCCCUCGGCCCAACCGAGGAACUGCGCCCGAGACUGCUUCUCUUGAGUCCCGGAGAGGAAGAUGGAAUUCCCGGUGUAGCGGUGAAAUGUGUAGAGAUCGGGAGGAACACCGGUGGCGAAGGCGACAUCCUGGACCGGUAUUGACGCUGAGGCGCGAAAGCCAGGGGAGCAAACGGG